CCCAACUCCUUCCCGUGGCUAAUUAACGAUCUCUAAGUAAUUAAUUAGGGGUGAAUUCAUUCAUUAAUUCAUUAAUUAAGUGGGGAAUUCCCAGCAUUCCGUGGUUCCGGUCACUUCCCGGCGUUCCCAGUGCUCCCAGUGCCCAACUGGGAUUGGCCGAUCCCAAAUUCCGCCCCCGGCGCCGUCGUUUUCCGGGAAUUCUUUGGGAUUUUUGGGGGAAUAUUUUGGGAAUUUUUUGGGAUUUUUUGGGAAUUCUUUGGGAAUUUUUUGGGAAUUUUUGGGGCAUUUUUUGGGAAUUCUUUGGGGAUUUUUUGGGAAUUUUUUGGGAAUUUUUGGGGAUUUUUGGGGGGAUUUUUUUGGAAUUUUUUUGGAUUUUUUGGGAAUUUUUGGGGAAUUUUUGGGGCAUUUUUUGGGAAUUCUUUGGGAUUUUUUGGGAAUUUUUUAGGAAUUCUUUGGGAUUUUUUUGGAAUUUUUUUGGAUUUUUUGGGAAUUUUUUGGGAAUUUUUGGGGCAUUUUUUGGGAAUUCUUUGGGGAUUUUUGGGGAAUUUUUGGGGAUUUUUUGGGGGGAUUUUUUGGGAAUUUUUUGGGGGGGAUUUUCCAGAAUUUUCCGUUCCUGGUGAAUUUUUUUUUGGGAUUUUCCCAUUUUUUUUUUCGGGAUUUUUUUUUUGGUGGGUGGGGGAGGGGAAAAUUCCGGAUUUUUCCAAAAGGGAGGCGGGAAAAAAAACCGGGAAUGAGGGUGGGAAAAAUGAGGAAAAAACGGGAAAAAAAAAAAAGGAAUUUGGGUCGGGAAUGGAAUUUUUUAUAAAAAUCUUGGAAAAGGAGGAGAAAAGUCUGGGAAAAAUCGGGAAUUCUGGGAGGGUUUUGGUGGAAAAACGGAGGAAUUUUGGAGGGGUUUUUUUUGGGAAAAUGGGGAAAAAUUGGGAAAAUGGGGAAAAAUUGGGAAAAAAUUGGGGAAAAAUUGGGAAAAAAAUUGGGAAAAAAAAGUGGAAAAAUGUGGAAAAAUGUGGAAAAAAUGUGGAAAAAUUGGGAAAAAAUUGGGAAAAAAAUUGGGAAAAAAUUGGGAAAAAAUUGGGGAAAAAAAUUGGAAAUAAAUUGGGAAAAAAUUGGGAAAAAAUUGGGAAAAAAAUUGGGAAAAAAUUGGGAAAAAAUUGGGAAAAUGUGGGAAAAAUGAUGGAAAAAAUGAUGGGAAAAAUGUGGAAAAAUUGGGAAAAAAUUGGGAAAAAAAUUGGGAAAAAAAUUGGGAAAAAAUUGGGAAAAUGUGGAAAAAAUAUGGAAAAAUAUGGAAAAAUAUGGAAAAUGUGGGAAAUGUGGAAAAAGUGGGAAAAUGCGGAAAAAAUGAUGGGAAAAUGUGGGAAAAUGUGGGAAAAAAUGUGGAAAAUGAUGGAAAAAUGAUGGAAAAAUGUGGGAAAAUGUGGGAAAUUUGGGAAAAUGUGGGAAAUUUGGGAAAAAAUAGAGAAAAAUAUGGAAAAAUGUGGAAUAAAUAUGGAAAAAAUGAUGGAAAAAUGUGGGAA
rnacentral:lncRNA from 1 species